GACGAACGCUGGCGGCGUGCUUAACACAUGCAAGUCGAACGGAAAGGCCCUGCUUUUGUGGGUUGCUCGAGUGGCGAACGGGUGAGUAACACGUGAGUAACCUGCCCUUGUCUUUGUGAUAACUUCAGGAAACUGGGGCUAAUACCGGAUAGGAGCUCCUGCUGCAUGGUGGGGGUUGGAAAGUUUCGGCGGUUGUGGAUGGUCUCGCGGCUUAUCCGCUUGUUUGUGGGGUAGUGGCUUACCAAGGGUUUGACGGGUAGCCGGCCUGAGAGGGGGACCGGGCACAAUGGGACUGAGAGACGGCGCAGAAGGGUACGGGAGGCAGCAGUGGAGAGUCUUACGCAAUGGGCGGACGCCUGAUGCGGAAACGCUGCGUGCGGGAUGACGGCCUUCGGGUUGUAAACAGCUUUCGACUGUGACGAAGCGUGAGUGACGGUAAUGGGUAAAGAAGCACCGGCUAACUACGUG
rnacentral:rRNA from 1 species